CGUAGGGGGCAAGCGUUGUCCGGAAUCAUUGGGUGUAAAGGGCAAGUAGGCGGCCAGAUAAGUGAGGGGUGAAAUCUUCCGACUCAAUCGGGAAACUGCCUUUCAAACUAUCUGGCUUGAGAUUGGAAGAGGGAAUCGGAAUUAGCGGUGUAAGGGUGAAAUCUGUAGAUAUCGCUAAGAACACCGGCGGCGAAGGCGGGUUCCUGGUCCAACUCUGACGCUGAACUGCGAAAGCUAGGGGAGCGAACAGAAUUAGAUACUCUGGUAGUCCUAGCCGUAAACGAUGAGUACUAGGUGUUGGGACGUUAGUCUCAGUGCCGCAGCUAACGCAUUAAGUACUCCACCUGGGGACUACGGCCGCAAGGCUA
rnacentral:rRNA from 1 species